UACGUAGGGGGCAAGCGUUGUCCGAAAUCAUUGGGCGUAAAGAGCGUGUAGGCGGCCCGCACAAGUCUGCGGUGAAAACCCCCGGCUUAACCGGGGGCCGGCCGUGGAAACUGUCGGGCUGGAGGCUGGGAGAGGGCAGCGGAAUUCCCGGUGUAGCGGUGAAAUGCGUAGAGAUCGGGAGGAACACCGGCGGCGAAGGCGGCUGCCUGGACCAGUCCUGACGCUGAGGCGCGAAAGCUAGGGGAGCAAACAGG
rnacentral:rRNA from 1 species